AACGAACGCUGGCGGCAUGCCUAACACAUGCAAGUCGAACGAGACCUUCGGGUCUAGUGGCGCACGGGCGCGUAACGCGUGGGAACCUGCCUUUAGGUUCGGAAUAACUCAGAGAAAUUUGAGCUAAUACCGGAUGAUGUCUUCGGACCAAAGAUUUAUCGCCUUUAGAUGGGCCCGCGUUGGAUUAGCUAGUUGGUGGGGUAAAGGCCUACCAAGGCGACAAUCCAUAGCUGGUCUGAGAGGAUGAUCAGCCACACUGGGACUGAGACACGGCCCAGACUCCUACGGGAGGCAGCAGUGGGGAAUAUUGGACAAUGGGCGAAAGCCUGAUCCAGCAAUGCCGCGUGAGUGAUGAAGGCCUUAGGGUUGUAAAGCUCUUUUACCCGAGAUGAUAAUGACAGUAUCGGGAGAAUAAGCUCCGGCUAACUCCGUG
rnacentral:rRNA from 1 species